CAACUUCCUGGAUGGUGUGUAGGCUGUUUGUCAACAUGUGAAACCCACAUGUAUUUCAGGGUAGGAGUAGUCUCCCCUUUUAAAGAUCAAAAAUGGCGGAUAUACAAUGCGGCAUGCAGUCUGGUCUUCAACGGAGAGUUUUGACACCCGUAUACCCGUAUUUCUACCAAUCACCUCUGUAACCUUUGUUGUGUUCAUCAGACAGAUGAUGGACCACUCUACUUUCUUUUAUAACAGGUGCCCCUACAGAUUCACAAAGUUCCAAUGUUGAGUUUCCAUGACCGCUAUUCAGUGAGUGCACAACUUUAUG